rnacentral:rRNA from 1 species
GUAGUCUCGCACAGAUGCAUAUCAAUAAGCGGAGGAAAAGAAACUAACAAGGAUUCCCCUAGUAACGGCGAGUGAAGCGGGAAGAGCUCAAAUUUGAAAUCUUAAAGGGUUUCCCUUUACGAAUUGUAGUUUAAAGAAGUGUUUUCUGUUGAGGUUUUGGUAAAAGUUCUUUGGAAUAGGACAUCAUAGAGGGUGAGAAUCCCGUAUUUGACCUUUACUUCCAACUUUGUGAUACACUUUCAAAGAGUCGGAUUGUUUGGGAAUGCAGUCCAAAAUGGGUGGUAAAUUUCAUCUAAAGCUAAAUAUUGGCGAGAGACCGAUAGCGAACAAGUACCGUGAGGGAAAGAUGAAAAGAACUUUGAAAAGAGAGUUAAACAGUACGUGAAAUUGUCAAAAGGGAAGCGUUUGACACCAGUGUUGUUUUUCUGAAAAUCAAUUAAAGAACUGUUUAUGCUAAGCUGUUUAGACUUUAUCAGCUAUCUGUUUAGUUUUGAGCUUUUCUUUAAUGCACUUUUCAGUUAACAAGUCAACAUCAAUUUCUUUUGCUGUAAAAAAGCUUGAGGAAGGUGGCUUGAGAUUCGUCUUAAGUGUUUAUAGCCUCUUGCCUAUGCAGUCGGAGAGAUUGAGGUCUGCAGCGUAGAUCCUUCGGGGCUAAAUGCAUUUGUGCUAAGUUAUAGCAUUUUAUAGACAACUUGUUGACUAUGAUUUGUCUUGUAGCUUACUCGCUUAUGUUAUUUUACCUACGCUUAGGAUGUUGAUCUGUAGUGCGUGCGC